GAUCCUACGGGGAGGCAGCAGUGGGGAAUAUUGCACAAUGGGGGAAACCCUGAUGCAGCCAUGCCGCGUGUGUGAAGAAGGCCUUCGGGUUGUAAAGCACUUUCAGUAGGGAGGAAGGUAGUGUAGUUAAUACCUGCAUUAUUUGACGUUACCUACAGAAGAAGCACCGGCUAACUCCGUGCCAGCAGCCGCGGUAAUACGGAGGGAGCGAGCGUUAAUCGGAAUUACUGGGCGUAAAGCGCAUGCAGGCGGCCUGUUAAGUCAGAUGUGAAAGCCCGGGGCUUAACCUCGGAAUUGCAUUUGAAACUGGCAGGCUAGAGUCUUGUAGAGGGGGGUAGGAAUUUCAGGUGUAGCGGUGAAAUGCGUAGAGAUCUGAAGGAAUACCAGUGGCGAAGGCGGCCCCCUGGACAAAGACUGACGCUCAGAUGCGAAAGCGUGGGGAGCAAACAGGAUUAGAUACCCUGGUAG
rnacentral:rRNA from 1 species